UAGCCGUAAACGAUACUCGCUAGGUGUCGGCCACGGUGCGACCGUUGUCGGUGCCGUAGGGAAGCCGUGAAGCGAGCCACCUGGGAAGUACGGCCGCAAGGCUGAAACUUAAAGGAAUUGGCGGGGGGAGCACAACAACGGGUGGAGCUUGCGGUUUAAUUGGAUUCAACGCCGGACAACUCACCCGGGGGACGACAGCAAUAUGUAGGCCAGGCUGAAGACCUUGCCUGAAUCGCUGAGAGGUGGUGCAUGGCGUAGACGUCU
rnacentral:rRNA from 1 species